GCGGGCGGCGGGCGGCGGGCCCUUCUCCGGCUGCUGUUCCAGGCAGUGCCGGUUGGGGCUGAUGGCUGGCAGCGGAGCCCCGGCCGCGUGACACUGCGGAUUCCCCGAGCCCGGCCGAGGAGCGGCAGGGCAGCCGCAGCGGUGCUCCCUUCGCCUCCUCCCCGUCUUUGUUUUCUUCCCUCGUCACGCAAUUUCCCCUGGGGGUUCGCAAAACACCCCCCCCCCAAACAAAAAAAAAACAACAAAAAGCCAACCCACGGGUUCAUCUUAAAAGGUGUUCUGGAGGCUUAAAGAACCCCCCUCACCCUCGCCCUCCUCGUUCAGGUGGAACCGACCACUUUUCACCUGUUGGUGGCUAAAGUGUCUCCAAGGACGCGGUUGUCGGAAACAGAGCUUGGAUUCCCUUGAAACGAGGGAACUGGGAUCAACCCAGCUGGUCCUCUGAGGGAAUGUCUGACCGUGGGGCAGUCAGGUUGGCCAGAGUAUGCACUUCUUCCCACAUAGUGUGCCCUCAGUAAAGCCAGGCAGUGGGACCUCAAGGUCAGAGGGUGGACUCUGGAUCUAGAGUCUUUGAGUUCCAGUGUUCCCAUUUACCAGCUACAUCACUUUGGGCAAGUGGUAUGUUUUGAACCUGACCUUGGAUAUUAGCUUACUUGAUGCAUGGUAAUACAUACUGUCCUUGGGUACUGAUGCUGACGGAUCCUGCCUACCUCCAAUGCAAGCUCCCGGGUGUAAAUGAGACAAGAGUCUGCAGUUGGUGGCUCCCCUGGCUCUCCGGAGAGGAUCCCUAGUUUCAUGCAGGCUGUUGAAAAUGGUUACAAGUUUGUGUGAUUUACAUACGUGUACAGUGAAGUAUUUGGAAGAGAUGGACUUUGGCCAGUCGAUGGAAUUUUAUUUGAUCUUCUCAUCAAAUGACUUUAAAAAUGAAAUGAAAAGUUCCAGCUUUCAUUUUUUAAUUCUUUUGGCAAGAUAUGAUGAAAAUAAAUCCAAGAAGAGUAGGAAGAUGUCAUGUGAAAUGCCAAGAAAAUGGAUUAACAAAAAAAAAUCAUCUGUUUUAAGGUGGAGCAGUUCAAAUAUUAAGAAAAAGAUCUCUUUCUUUUGGCAAGAGAGACAUUUUGGUGGUUUUAUUUCUUGGAUAAAGAAUGGGUCAUUCCUUAUUUAAAUUAAUGGAUACAGCCAGCAAUUCACAUGAACCUCUGACCCACCUGUCUAGAGAGAGAAUGGUAAACCAACAAGGAUACAAAAAAACAAAAUUAAUCCCAAGAAGGAAAUAUUUGGUCUAAAAGCCCACAAGAACUUUGUGGGUGUCUGAGACACCACAGCAUGGUGAGGCGACUGUUUUGCAAUUAAGAAAAUAUGAAACUUUUAUGCGAAACCAACUCGCAAAAGCUCUAGCUCUUCCGUUUUUAGGUGUGAGGCCAAGUUACAUCUGCAUAGGACUCCGUCUGCGUGAUGAGUAAUGUUGAAUGUGGCGGCUUUUUUUAACUGUAGAAUAAACACAGUCUUCACACAGGAUCUUAUUUUAAAAAUUGCAUGUCUCUUUUACUCCCUAGGUUUUAUGAAAUCAUCUCUUACUCCUACCUACAAAAUUCUAAGGUCCUCCUAGAAUAGAAUUACUUUUUGGUGACAUGUAAAAAAAGUCAUAUGAAAUUCAGAUUUCAGUGUCCAUAAAUAAACUUUAAUGGAGCGCAGCCA